GAGGGUAUAACUCAAUGGUAGAGCUCAUGCUUGGCGUGUAGAAGGUCCUGGGUUCAACCCCCAGUACCACCA
rnacentral:tRNA from 1 species